ACGUCUGCGCAAUAAGGUUGCCGGGCGCACAGUGGCGGCCGCCUGAAGCUACUGAGUCGCGGCGCCGCGCACUUGCGGUUGGGUCAGUGCCGCGCGCCGCUGGUGGCCUUCAGGCUGGUCGGUGCGGGUCCGCCCCGGUUCGCCGGCUCCUAGGUCUUUGAACAGCCGCGAUGUCGAUCUUCACCCCCACCAACCAGAUCCGCCUAACCAAUGUGGCCGUGGUACGAAUGAAGCGCGCCGGGAAGCGCUUCGAAAUCGCCUGCUACAAAAACAAGGUCGUCGGCUGGCGGAGCGGCGUGGAAAAAGACCUUGACGAAGUUCUGCAGACCCACUCAGUGUUUGUAAAUGUUUCUAAAGGUCAGGUUGCCAAGAAGGAAGAUCUCAUCAGUGCGUUUGGAACAGAUGACCAAACUGAAAUCUGUAAGCAGAUUUUGACUAAAGGAGAAGUUCAAGUAUCAGAUAAAGAAAGACACACACAACUGGAGCAGAUGUUUAGGGACAUUGCAACCAUUGUGGCAGACAAAUGUGUGAAUCCUGAAACAAAGAGACCGUACACCGUGAUCCUUAUUGAGAGAGCCAUGAAGGACAUCCACUAUUCAGUGAAAACCAACAAAAGUACAAAACAGCAGGCUUUGGAAGUGAUAAAGCAGCUAAAAGAGAAAAUGAAGAUAGAACGUGCUCACAUGAGGCUUCGCUUCAUCCUGCCAGUGAAUGAAGGCAAGAAGCUGAAAGAAAAGCUCAAGCCACUGAUCAAGGUCAUAGAAAGUGAAGAUUAUGGCCAACAGUUAGAAAUCGUAUGUCUGAUUGACCCGGGCUGCUUCCGAGAAAUUGAUGAGCUAAUAAAAAAGGAAACCAAAGGCAAAGGUUCUUUGGAAGCACUCAAUUUGAAAGAUGUGGAAGAAGGAGAUGAGAAAUUUGAAUGACACCCAUCAAUCUCUUCACCUCUAAAAACACUAAAGGGUUUUUGUUUCCGACAGCACUGUU